rnacentral:tRNA from 1 species
AUUAAGGUGGCAGAGUCAAGUAAUGCAAAAGACCUAAAAUCUUUCUACAGGGAAGCAAGUUCCCUUCUUAAUA